UACGAAGGGGGCUAGCGUUGCUCGGAAUCACUGGGCGUAAAGCGCACGUAGGCGGACUCUUAAGUCGGUGGUGAAAUCCUGGAGCUCAACUCCAGAACUGCCUUCGAUACUGAGAGUCUCGAGUCCGAGAGAGGUGAGUGGAACUGCGAGUGUAGAGGUGAAAUUCGUAGAUAUUCGCAAGAACACCAGUGGCGAAGGCGGCUCACUGGCCCGAUACUGACGCUGAGGUGCGAAAGCGCGGGGAGCAAACAGG
rnacentral:rRNA from 1 species